rnacentral:rRNA from 1 species
AGCGAACGCUGGCGGCAGGCCUAACACAUGCAAGUCGAGCGGAUCCUUCGGGAUUAGUGGCGGACGGGUGAGUGACACGUGGGAACGUGCCCUUUGGUUCGGAACAACUCAGGGAAACUUGAGCUAAUACCGGAUGUGCCCUUCGGGGGAAAGAUUUAUCGCCAUUGGAGCGGCCCGCGUCUGAUUAGCUAGUUGGUGAGGUAAAGGCUCACCAAGGCGACGAUCAGUAGCUGGUCUGAGAGGAUGAUCAGCCACAUUGGGACUGAGACACGGCCCAAACUCCUACGGGAGGCAGCAGUGUGGAAUCUCGCGCAAUGGGCGAAAGCUUGACGCAGCCAUGCCGCGUGAAUGAUGAAGGUCUUAGGAUUGUAAAAUUCUUUCACCGGGGACGAUAAUGACGGUACCCGGAGAAGAAGCCCCGGCUAACUUCGUGCCAGCCGCCGCGGUAAAAC